CAACCGGCUGCGCAACCAGGCCACCAUCCUGGGCGCCCAGCAACUGGUGGUCGACCAGAUGGCCGACAUUGUCGUCUCGCUGAGGAACGCCACCGUGUCGCUGCAGGAGCACGUGCGUUUCAACCGCACCAACGUGACGGAGGCCGUCCGGGAGCUGAUCGACCAGGCGGAGUCGGCGCAGCAGUACCUGCGCACGCGCGGCGGCUCAGAAGUCAUACAGCUGGCGGACGAGUACGCGGCCGAGUUCCUCAUGCACCUGGACGAGUUCACGGCGCGCGUGGAGGGCG